UACAGAGGUGCCGAGCGUUAGGCGGAAUCACUGGGCUUAAAGCGCGUGUAGGCGGGUCGUUAAGUGUCCGCGUGAAAUCCCACGGCUCAACCGUGGAACUGCCGGGCAUACUGGCGACCUUGAGGCACUUAGGGGCGAGCGGAACAAAUGGUGGAGCGGUGAGAUGCGUAGAUAUCAUUUGGAACGCCGACGGUGAAAACAGCUCGCUGGGAGUGUCCUGACGCUGAGACGCGAAAGCCAGGGGAGCGAACGGG
rnacentral:rRNA from 1 species